rnacentral:rRNA from 1 species
UACGGAGGGGGCAAGCGUUGUUCGGAAUUACUGGGCGUAAAGGGCGCGCAGGCGGCUGCUCAAGUCAGGCGUGAAAGGCCUGGGCUCAACCCGGGAAUUGCGCUUGAGACUGGGCUGGCUUGAGUGCGGGAGAGGAUGGUGGAAUUCCCAGUGUAGAGGUGAAAUGCGUAGAGAUGUGGAGGAACACCAGUGGCGAAGGCGACUUCCUGGACAAUUGCUGACACUCAGGCACGAAAGCGUGGGGAGCAAAAGGG